GUGGGGAAUAUUGGACAAUGGGCGAAAGCCUGAUCCAGCAAUGCCGCGUGAGUGAAGAAGGCCUUCGGGUUGUAAAGCUCUUUUGCCCGGGAAGAUAAUGACUGUACCGGGAGAAUAAGCCCCGGCUAACUCCGUGCCAGCAGCCGCGGUAAUACGGAGGGGGCUAGCGUUGUUCGGAAUUACUGGGCGUAAAGCGCACGUAGGCGGCUAUUCAAGUCAGAGGUGAAAGCCUGGAGCUCAACUUCAGAAUUGCCUUUGAAACUAGGUAGCUUGAACACGGGAGAGGUGAGUGGAAUUCCGAGUGUAGAGGUGAAAUUCGUAGAUAUUCGGAAGAACACCAGUGGCGAAGGCGGCUCACUGGACCGUUGUUGACGCUGAGGUGCGAAAGCGUGGGGAGCAAACAGGAUUAGAAACCCUAGUAGUCC
rnacentral:rRNA from 1 species